UACGUAGGGUGCAAGCGUUAUCCGGAGUUACUGGGCGUAAAGGGGCGUGUAGGCGGAUCGGUAAGUCUACUCUGAAAGCUCCUGGCUAAACUGGGAGAGGCGAGUGGAGACUGUCGGUCUAGAGUGAGGAAGAGGAAAGUGGAAUUCCGCGUGUAGUGGUGAAAUGCGUAGAGAUGCGGAGGAACACCAGUGGCGAAAGCGGCUUCUGGUUCCUUAACUGAACGCUGAGGC
rnacentral:rRNA from 1 species